rnacentral:rRNA from 1 species
CCUACGGGGGGCAGCAGUGGGGAAUAUUGCACAAUGGGCGCAAGCCUGAUGCAGCGACGCCGCGUGGGGGAUGACGGCCUUCGGGUUGUAAACUCCUUUCGUUAGGGACGAAGCCACACUUUUUUUGGGUGUGGUGACGGUACCUUUGUUAAGAAGCACCGGCUAACUACGUGCCAGCAGCCGCGGUAAUACGUAGGGUGCGAGCGUUGUCCGGAAUUACUGGGCGUAAAGAGCUCGUAGGUGGUUUGUUGCGUCGUCUGUGAAAUUCCGGGGCUUAACUUCGGGGUGGCAGGCGAUACGGGCAUAACUAGAGUGCUGUAGGGGAGACUGGAAUUCCUGGUGUAGCGGUGGAAUGCGCAGAUAUCAGGAGGAACACCGAUGGCGAAGGCAGGUCUCUGGGCAGUAACUGAC